GAUGAAGAACGCAGCGAAAUGCGAUAAGUAAUGUGAAUUGCAGAAUUCAGUGAAUCAUCGAAUCUUUGAACGCACAUUGCGCCCGCCAGUAUUCUGGCGGGCAUGCCUGUCUGAGCGUCAUUUCAACCCUCAUGCCCCUAGGGUGUGGUGUUGGGGAUCGGCCAAAGCCCGCGAGGGACGGCCGGCCCCUAAAUCUAGUGGCGGACCCGUCGUGGCCUCCUCUGCGAAGUAGUGAUAUUCCGCAUCGGAGAGCGAUGAGCCCCUGCCGUUAAACCCCCAACUUUCCAAGGUUGACCUCAGAUCAGGUAGGAAUACCCGCUGAACUUAAGCAUAUCAAUAAGCGGAGGA
rnacentral:misc_RNA from 1 species